rnacentral:rRNA from 1 species
GACGAACGCUGGCGGCGUGCCUAAUACAUGCAAGUAGAACGCAGUUGCGAACGGGUGAGUAACGCGUAGGUAACUGCCUGGUAGCGGGGGAUAACUAUUGGAAACGAUAGCUAAUACCGCAUACUACCAGAUGGACCUGCGUUGGAUGAGCUAGUCGGUGGGGUAACGGCGCACCAAGGCAACGAUACUUAUCGGACCUGGUAGGGUGAUCGGCCACACUGGGACGGAGACACGGCCCAGACUCCUCCGGGAGGCAGCAGUUGGGAAUCUUCGGCAAUGGGUGGAAGCCUGACCGAGCAACGCCGCGUGAGUGAAGAAGGUUUUCGGAUCGUAAAGCUCUGUUGUUAAGGAAGCGGUACUUAACCAGAAAGGGACGGCUAAUUACGUGCCAGCAGCCGCGGUAUAC